rnacentral:rRNA from 1 species
CUCAGGGAGGUAGUGACAAGAAAUAACAACACUGGAAAUUUUAUUUCUAGUGAUUGGAAUGAUGGGAAUUUAAACCCCUUUCAGAGUAACAAUUGGAGGGCAAGUCUGGUGCCAGCAGCCGCGGUAAUUCCAGCUCCAAUAGCGUAUAUUAAAGUUGUUGCAGUUAAAAAGCUCGUAGUUGGAUGUCUGCUGGAAGCAAUCAGUCCGCCCUAUUUGUAGGGUGUGCGCUUGAUGAAUUCUGGCAUCUAUGUCCUAAUGUGAUAGAUACGGCGGUGUAUAUGGGUUAAUCCUAUAUACCCGUUUGUAUAUUAUAAUGGGAUAAUACCGUUACUUUGAGAAAAUUAGAGUGUUUGAAGCAGGCUAAUUGCCUUGAAUACUGCAGCAUGGAAUAACAAUAUAGGAUUUCGGUUCUAUUUUGUUGGUUUCUAGGACUGAAAUAAUGAUUAAUAGGGACAGUUGGGGGCAUUCGUAUUUAACUGUCAGAGGUGAAAUUCUUAGAUUUGUUAAAGACGAACUACUGCGAAAGCAUUUGCCAAAGAUGUUUUCAUUAAUCAAGAACGAAAGUUAGGGGCUCGAAGACGAUCAGAUACCGUCGUAGUCUUAACCAUAAACUAUGCCGACUAGAGAUAGGAAAAUGUCAUUUUUCUGACUU